rnacentral:rRNA from 1 species
UGGGGAAUCUUGCGCAAUGGGCGAAAGCCUGACGCAGCCAUGCCGCGUGAGUGAUGAAGGCCUUAGGGUUGUAAAACUCUUUCACCGGGGACGAUAAUGACGGUACCCGGAGAAGAAGCCCCGGCUAACUUCGUGCCAGCAGCCGCGGUAAUACGAAGGGGGCUAGCGUUGCUCGGAAUUACUGGGCGUAAAGGGCGCGUAGGCGGAUCAGCAAGUUGGGGGUGAAAGCCCGGGGCUCAACCUCGGAAUUGCCUUCAAAACUGCUGAUCUAGAGUACGGGAGAGGUGUGUGGAACUCCGAGUGUAGAGGUGAAAUUCGUAGAUAUUCGGAAGAACACCAGUGGCGAAGGCGACACACUGGCCCGUUACUGACGCUGAGGCGC